rnacentral:rRNA from 1 species
GACGAACGCUGGCGGCGUGCUUAACACAUGCAAGUCGAACGGAAAGGCCCUGCUUUUGUGGGGUGCUCGAGUGGCGAACGGGUGAGUAACACGUGAGUAACCUGCCCUUGACUUUGGGAUAACUUCAGGAAACUGGGGCUAAUACCGGAUAGGAGCUCCUGCUGCAUGGUGGGGGUUGGAAAGUUUCGGCGGUUGGGGAUGGACUCGCGGCUUAUCAGCUUGUUGGUGGGGUAGUGGCUUACCAAGGCUUUGACGGGUAGCCGGCCGGGGGGGGUGACCGGCCAGCUGGGGUUGGACAGAGGCACGGCCCACACACGGGGGGGAGGGGGGGGGAAUUUGGAAAAGAGGGGGGACGCAAGCGGGAGCAAGCCGGGGGGCGGGAGGGGGGAAUUCGGGUGGGAAGCAGAUUUCGCUUGUGAGGAAGGGUAAGGACGGUAAAGGGGUAAAAAGGCCCGGGUAACUCAGUG